GUCCCAUUAGAAAGUAUAUUGAAGAUAAAGGAGGCAGGUUUCAUUUAAGGUGGGGAUGCAGACAGAUAAUGUAUGAUGCAUCUGCUGAUGGAGAAACAUAUGUCACAGGACUUGCCAUGUCAAGAUCUACUAACAAGAAAGUUGUGAAAGCUGAUGCUUAUGUAGCAGCAUGUGAUGUUCCUGGAAUUAAAAGAUUACUUCCAUCACCGUGGAGGGAAUCACAAUUUUUUGAUAAUAUUUAUGAGCUAGUUGGAGUACCUGUUGU
rnacentral:misc_RNA from 1 species